AUUGAACGCUGGCGGAAGGCUUUACACAUGCAAGUCGAACGGCAGCACGGGGGCAACCCUGGUGGCGAGUGGCGAACGGGUGAGUAAUACAUCGGAACGUGCCCGGUCGUGGGGGAUAACGUAGCGAAAGGUACGCUAAUACCGCAUACGAUCUGAGGGUGAAAGCGGGGGACCUUCGGGCCUCGCGCGAUCGGAGCGGCCGAUGUCAGAUUAGGUAGUUGGUGGGGUAAAGGCCUACCAAGCCGACGAUCUGUAGCUGGUCUGAGAGGACGACCAGCCACACUGGGACUGAGACACGGCCCAGACUCCUACGGGAGGCAGCAGUGGGGAAUUUUGGACAAUGGGCGCAAGCCUGAUCCAGCCAUUCCGCGUGCAGGACGAAGGCCUUCGGGUUGUAAAGUGCUUUUGUAUGGAACGAAAAGGAUCUGGCUAAUACCUGGGGCUCAUGACGGUACCGUAAGAAUAAGCACCGGCUAACCACGUG
rnacentral:rRNA from 1 species